UGGCUGUUGAAGUCAACUUCCUUGUGACGCCAGAGGAGAAUUGGGACCAUCUUGUGAGAUCACUGUUGAUCUCUGUGAAGUCUCUGGUUAAUGAGCAGUUGGAAAUUGUCCACAAACCCAAAACCCUAUCCUCCAAAAGAAUAAAAAGGUUGAGUGCAGGAGUGCUUUAUAUCCUCUGGCUGCAUAUUGGGGGUGGGCCAGAAGGGGUGAAGAUUCACAGGACCCUGCACCCGGCCCUGCAGGAGCUGUUGG